CCACCGUCAAAACUUUCCAGUUUGGGCACUCCAAGCCUCCCACCCAAUUGAAGCUCUUCAGGACCGAAAAAAAACAGAGGGAAAACCGGGUAAGCAUACGAAAGAUCAACGGAAGGAAAGAUCGAAAAAUUGAAAGCUGGGGUGGUGCAUUUUUAUGCGAGUUGUGAUGGUGUGAGUUGGUCCUUUGAGGAUUUGAGAGCUUAAUCUUGGUAGAAGCAUGAUCUUUUGUCGGAGCAGGGGUAGUGGAAGUCAAAGGGGAGGUCGGAAUGGAGGGGAAAUUUGUGUGCGAAUGGCAAUCGGGGCUUUGGAUUUGAGGGCUGGAGAUUUUGGGACGGUGGAGAAGGAAGGAUGGUAGGGUUCGUCGCAGGGAGAGAGGGAGUGCUUUCGACAGCUCCUUGACUCCAUCGUUGCCUGCCUGCUGCUCUGUUUCUGUACCAGCAGCCUCGCCACCGGCACCUUCGACCUCACCGGUGUCACCGUCUGGGAGACAUCCUCGUUGUGUUUUGGGGUACAUAAGAAGGGGCUGAGCCCAAAAGAAAAAUUAUGCAUGCUGAUAUUCUACUCCAUAUGCAUCGGCUGACAGUAUAGUCUGCAGAGCACUUGGAACAGAAUCCCCUGCAUUCAAUUGAAGCUGCUUUCCACUGCAUGCAAGGCAACCCAAACGGCUACAUGGUUCCACAGCGAUGGUUGCGAGAAACUUUGAAUAGACCCUGUUGAUACAGAUUUUUAUCUCGAGAUCGGAUCCGCUGGAGUUGGACGGCGAUAUCAGGUCGGCAAUGGUAAGACCUGCAAGAAAAAUCUCUGAUCAGAAGUGGUUCCAACGGAAAUCCUUCAACGUUCAAGUCAGAAAUCCAACAAUAAAAGAGAAGGAGUGAGCGUGUUGGGAGAGAAGAGUUUUCAUACUUUGGGGAUCCCCUGUAAGCCUUUAUUUAUAGAUGGAAACUGAAGAGCUAUAAGAGAAAAAAAAAAUCAGACGGUUAGCUUUGACU